UACAGAGGUCUCAAGCGUUGUUCGGAUUCAUUGGGCGUAAAGGGUGCGUAGGUGGCGGGGUAAGUCAGGUGUGAAAUCUCGGGGCUCAACCCCGAAACUGCACUUGAUACUGCCUUGCUCGAGUACUGGAGAGGAGAUUGGAAUUUACGGUGUAGCAGUGAAAUGCGUAGAUAUCGUAAGGAAGACCAGUGGCGAAGGCGAAUCUCUGGACAGUUACUGACACUGAGGCACGAAGGCCAGGGGAGCAAACGGG
rnacentral:rRNA from 1 species